ACUGUGGGAGUUCUCCCACCCAUGUAUAAGGAGUUAUACUUUAAGAGGUUUCACCAACUUCUAGGUAGUCGUCUUAUGUGCUAGUUGCUUUGAGGAUCUUGGCUCAUGGUCCUUUAGCUGCAAUAUCUAAAUCAUAGUCUUCCCCAUCUGUCACAUCUUUUGAAAAGAUGACAACAUAUGAAUUUCCUGAUAUUAGUAUGUUGGUUGGAGCUUAAGGGAAACCUUUCAUCCCAAUUUCACAAAGAGAUAAUUAUGCCUGAGAUACCAGAAAUAAUACUAAAAAGUGUUGUUGAUAUUCUUGGAGACAAUUACAUUGUACCUAAGAUGGGCAAUGAAGAUUAUAUAAAUUCGAUUUCAUUGUUGAUAAAUGGAUCAGUGCCUAUAGAAAUUGAUGUACUUUUGCCUGCUCUUGACAUUGAUGUUUUGCUCGAUGCUUCCAGCUUUUGGGAUGACCUUCUGCAAAGUCUAGUGCUUAAGGAUGUGAUAUCAACCUCGGUGGAUGGUGAAACCGAGAAAAAUGAAAUACAACCAACAAAGAAUGGAUGAGACAAAGUUCAGCAUAUGGAUCAACUUGUUGAACAAAUAAGUCUUCUUAAUGCUAAUUCUAAAAUGGUUUGAGUUGAAUGCAUAAUUGGCUCUUUUAUAAUUUGAGUCUAAACAGGUGUAUGCUAUAGAUUGGAAAUUUUCUUGAUUAUACAGGACCUACAUGUUGUUGCUCUGCUCCUACAAGACACCUAUCUUUUUUUAUGGACUGACUUCUUAUAAUUAGUUAUUUAUGAAAAUUCAGCUAUAUUUCUCUUAAUAGAAUUGGCAAUAAUACUGAUCUUAAAUAUCUUUGCAGUACUUGCAUUAUGGUCAUGUCUUUGAUAAUAGCAAGAUGAAAUAAUUUAUGUAAAGUUGGAAUUGGGUUUUGUUGA